ensembl:lncRNA
CUGGAUGGCAUCACUGACUCGAUGGACGUGAGUCUGAGUGAACUCCGGGAGUUGGUGAUGGACAGGGAGGCCUGGCGUGCUGCGAUUCAUGGGGUCACAAAGAGUCGAAUAUGACUGAGCAACUGAACUGAACUGAACUGAAUUGUAGAAUAAUGUGUAAAUUUUCUAUCUUGUCUCACAGGCCUGCUCUUGAUAGGUUCCUGGAAGAGGAUUUUGUUGGAAUGCCUUGUUUCUCUGGAAUCAGUAUGUAGCAUAUGUACUUCUGGGAGCAGUUGCCUGGACACCCAGUUUCAGAACCCAGACUUUACAGGCUAUGACAGAUUUCUCAGAAGACAGGUCAGAUGGUCUGUUAUUCACAUCUCUUGAAGAAUUUUCCACAGUUUGUUGUGAUCUACACAGUCAAAGGCUUUGGCAUAAAGCAGAACUUAAACAUCUGGAAGUUCACAGUUCACAUACUUUUGAAGCCUGGCUUGGAGGAUUUUGAACAUUAC